rnacentral:rRNA from 1 species
UACAGAGGUGGCAAGCGUUGUUCGGAAUUACUGGGCGUAAAGGGCGCGUAGGCGGUUCGUUAAGUCCUGUGUGAAAUCCCCCCGGCUCAACUGGGGAACUGCACAGGAAACUAGCGGGCUUGAGUUCGGGAGAGGGAAGCGGAAUUCCGGGUGUAGCGGUGAAAUGCGUAGAGUAUCCGGAGGAACACCGGUGGCGAAGGCGG